rnacentral:lncRNA from 1 species
AAACACCUCAGUUCACUGCCCUCAUAAAGGUCAGUAACUUUUCUUCUUUGUUUAAUUCAAUCCUAAAAAAUCUGAAAUGCUCUUAUAUGGUAGUAUAUUAUGUGAAAAUGUUGUUAGCUUUCUUGAUUUUGUCAAAAAUAGAUACCAUUAUGCUUUUAGUUGUUUCUUGAUGAUGUUUAGUUUCGAGUUGUUUUCUGUGCGUUUUAGUUUUCUUGCUAGAAAUUGUGUAUUGGGCUUUUCCUAAUUUAUAAAGUAAUAUCAUUGAGUUAAAUUAUGUUCUGUUUGUAUAAUUAUCUGUAUUAAUCGAUAAGUAUUCGAUAAAAUGCCUACGCUAAGAUUCUUUUUGUCAUGAUCGUGGUUAUACAUAAGAAAAACUACUUGUUUUGUUAGUAGUAAUUUUGAAAUACUAUUUAGGAUUGAUAUAGUAUUUGCUCACUUAAAAGUCACAUGAAAGAAAGAAUACAUAUCGUUUUUAUGACAACGUGCCUUCUCUUGUUUCUUAGAUGAUAAAGCAUGACCGUAGUUAUUUUUAUUUACAAAAUAUAGAAACCAUGUAUCUAGAAUUCAAAUUUUGUAUCCCAGCGGCAAUUGACUUGAGCCUUGGGGUUUGCUCCCUUUCAAGGUCUCAAGUUCGAAACCCAUUGGGUGCAAACAAUUUCUGAGGGUCAUCGGACUGGGUAAAACCUAAAUUAACCGUGGUGCACUUGCGAAAAACUCCUUGCCGAGGGCCUGUGCACCCCCGAGAUUAGUCGGGGCUCUUAAAGACUCGGACACCCGGUGCAAAUCAAAAAAAGAAUUCAAAUUUUGUAUUAGGAAUUUUUAUUUUUAUUUUCAUAAUAUAAAAACUAUGCCUAUAGGAUUUUACAACAUUUUUGCUUGAAAGAAAUUGAAUCAACAGAAAUAUAGGCUGCUGUAUGAGAAGUCCGAUUUGUUUUCGCCUCUUAAGAUGUCAUGCAUAUAGGAUUUAAAGGCAUUUCCUUAGCUAUAGAAAAUAUAUGCUAUUAUGUUUCAAUAUGAAAUAUUGGUGCGAGCCUGCAUAUUUAUGUCUAGAGAUCUUGUGAAUAGGUAUCACAUCUUUGUUAAUCUCAAUGAUCAUGAAUUUAAAAUCGCGUUUCUACCAUUAUAAUUAUUUGAAAGUUCUGUAUUAUGCCUCCAUGGUAAAAAAUAAAAUAAAUGAAACACAAUAUCUUGUUAGCAUAGUCAUACGUGCAUUUUGCCUAUAGUUUGUUGUUGUGCUGCUGUAUGAACUUUAAAGCAAUCUCACUUGCGAAUAUUCUCAUACUAUGUAGCAUUUAAAUGAUGUGCCUAAUUUUUUAUUUUUCCUUUCUUUGCAUGUAUACUUUGGAGCAAAUGGAGUCUUAAUUCGAGACUUUCGCAAUAGAAUCUCAUAGAGACUCAACGCUACCCUACCCGAGCAUGGAGUCAUCACAUACCAUAUUCUAUAGAUGCAUCAAACAACAAGAAAACAAGCGAAACGCUUGUGGGCGCCUAUGACAUUCUUAUUCUCUUUUAUUAUAUAUUGUACCUAAUCUUUUACUGUUGUUGAUUUAUGUGUGUUUGGUGUUUAUCUCAAUUUUGGGAUUUAAUCAUCUAGGUUCUUUAUCUUGUGCUUAAUAUUAUCUGACAUGAUAUGGCA